rnacentral:rRNA from 1 species
AUGGAGAUUUUGGCUGCGGCGGCGCCGUCCCUCGAAUCCGGAUCGGCGUCGGAGGCCAACGAGCCGGCAGCGCGCUCGGGGGCUUUUGUUUCGGCCGGUUUCGUUACCGCGGCGGCAGAAUCAGUACUAAGCUCGCCGGAUUCGGCCGUCCGCCCUCUCUAUCCUGAUAUUAGACAGUCAUAUGAGGAGCUGACACAGCCGGCGGCACGGAGGGAUCUGUCUGAUGUCGAGUUCUCCGGGGGGUCCUGCACCAUGUUCAGUUCAGGCGGUGGUGGUGUGGCGUCCAGUUCAGGCGGUGGUGAUGUGGCUUCCGGGCAAGUCCAUGGCGAGGCGCCGCCCGUCGCCUCUCGCGGCUCGAUUCAGUCCUUACCGCACAGUGCCCGAGCGCUGGCGACCACCACCGUCCGAGUUGGCUGGAAGCGCAGGCCGAGAGGACCGAAAGGCCCAGACGAGCGGUCAGUAGUGGUUGAUUGUGUGUUGGCCCUCGAAUCUGCCAUACGAGGAUUUGCUGACAGGGGGACUGAGGUGGUUGUCAACCCAGCGCUUGGCACAAAUUUCGAUAGCUUGCCGGAGGCGUGUGAAUUCUACAAUCUUUAUUCAUGGGAGGUUGGAUUUGGUAUUCGUUACGGCAAAAGCAGGCAGAAUGUCAAUGGGACCAAGUGUAUGCAGGAGAUCGUAUGCGGCUGUGCUGGCAAGCCAGAGAGGGAGAACAGCUCGUCGAUGAGAAGCAAUUGUGCCGCAAUGAUGCGACUGCACCGGACAGAUGAUGGUGGGUGGUAUGUAUCGGAGAAUCGUGCUGCACACAACCAUGAACUGCUUCAGACAUGUGCGGAGAAGCUACACUGGCCAUCCCACCGGCGCAUUGACACAUACACGAGAGACCUUGUGAAGCAGUUGCGGGAGAACAAUGUUAAUCUUGGCAAGGUUUACAGCAUCAUUGGCAGCCUGUUUGGCCGGAUGGAGAAUGUACCGUUCACGAAGAGGUGCCUUCGAACUUUCUGUGGAAAGCUUAGUAGGGAGCAGGCAGACGAUGAUGUGCGCAAGACUAUGGAUGCAUUCUCCGAGCUGGGAUCUAAUGACCCGGAGUUUUCGUAUGUGGUUGAGGUUGAUAAAGAAAGCAAGAUAAAAACCCUGCUGUGGACUAAUGGGAGAAGCAAGAUGCAAUACCACAGUUUCGGGGAUGUCAUAACAUUUGACACAACUUACAAGACAAACCUAUAUGACAUGCCUUUCGGGUUGUUCGUGGGAGUGAACAACCACUUCCAGAGUAUCAUCAUGGGGGGGGGUCAUGAUGAGAGAGGAAACAAUCGAGAGUUUUAA